GACGAACCGAGCAAACGUUAUUCGGAAUCACUGGGCUUAAAGAGUUCGUAGGCGGCGCGUUAGGUGGGGUGUGAAAUCCCUCGGCUUAACCGAGGAAUUGCGCUCCAAACCGGCGUGCUUGAGGAAGGUAGAGGUGAGCGGAACUGAUGGUGGAGCGGUGAAAUGCGUUGAUAUCAUCAGGAACACCGGAGGCGAAGGCGGCUCACUGGGCCUUUUCUGACGCUGAGGAACGAAAGCCAGGGUAGCGAACGGG
rnacentral:rRNA from 1 species